rnacentral:lncRNA from 1 species
UGCUUUUUUCACAUCAAAAUACCCCCAUUUUCUUUGUAAAAUAUCAGUUAUGGGGUAUGGCUUGGGACCCUUUUUCCUGAAGAAACUACCAGUAUUAUUGGUUAUCAGUGGAAUUUUUAUCAUCGUAAACUGUGAAGGCUGGAAUGAGAACAUUUAAUCCAAGGCCUGGGAUAUGCUGUCAGUAGGAUCUCGUCUAUAUCAUUUAUGGUAUUAGGUCAGAGAAACCUAUAUAGACGCCUAGGUGAAUCGAAGGUGGAGGUGGCCAUUCAGUUGCUGUGCUGUUUGACAGCAAAGGGAAAAAACUUAUAUUGAACUGCAGGGACCUUGCACAAACCAUUGGCUCAUUGGAAUGGAGGAAGGCUAAACAAGGAUCCAUGCUAUGAUACAAGAAGGGAAAGAGAAAGUUGGAUGACUGGCUGAAUUCUUUUCUGUUGAAUAAGGAUGGAUCGACAUCAAGAUGUGGAGGAUGGGCUAUCUCUUGGCAGAUAUAAAGGAAGUGCUUCCUGGGUAGCGGACCAGGUAUUAAAAAUUUACAUAGACGAAGAAGAUAACAGGUGUCCUCCUCAUGACUCUGCAGUCAUGAAAAGGCAAUCUUUGAACUUUUAAACAUCGCCGAUAGAUUUGGAUUACUGGAGUACUGCCAUACGAAAUCCAGCAUAGCCGUUUUCUCUGGGCUGUUUGCAAAACUCGCCAAUGGUACUAAAUAACGCUGGCGAUCCUUUAUGUUGUCACAUUUUCCGUGAAGUUUGAUGGUCUCUCGGAGAGUAUGUCGGCGCGUUACUUCCAUCAAUCAGCAAAGACCUUCUCGGCGAGCCCAAUGAAUUACCUAUUUGCGAUAUUAAAAUAUUUUGGCUGUUAUUAACCCCCAAUUAGAUGGAUAUGAGGUGACAAUGGAAGACUGCUACCGUCGCGUUUUUCCAUGGCAGUUGGCUAAUGAUAUAUCGUUCCAAGAAAAAUUCAGUUUGAUAGAUGCCUGGAUGCUUUGUAUCCGAAGCAAAGAAGAAGUUUUGCAGUUAAGAGAGGAAAUGGGAAGAUAUGAAACAGGAUUGAUGACCAUUAGAAGAAAAAUAGAAGAUAUCUUUCAAAGGGACCAUAAAAGUGGCGAUAUCUUAGUUCGUGGAAAGCGUUCAUUAUGCAGUCGGAACUAAAGAGACUUGAUCGCUUGUUAAACGAUUGUGACAUCUGGUUUAGGGGUGCGGUUAGCGCCUAUUCGAGGAAUAAUAGAGUACAUGUAGUAGUAGGUAAUAAUGAAGAUGAUAGCGACGAUGAAAACGAUUGUGAAAGUAGUGAUGACAACGAGGAACCUUGACGAUGAGGCUGAUUUUGGUGAAAACAUUGAUAAUUGUGAUGCCGAAGAGAUUGAUGAUUCUACAUCGGAUGAUUCUAUUGUAUUGAAUUAGGCAGUAAUCUUCUAUUGGCAAAAAGUGUACGGUUACAUUUCCUAAAUACUUUCUUCAUGACCGCUGAAAUAAACUAUUUUCUCAUGA